rnacentral:rRNA from 1 species
UACAGAGGUCUCAAGCGUUGUUCGGAUUCAUUGGGCGUAAAGGGUGCGUAGGCGGCGCGGUAAGUCGGGUGUGAAAUCUCGGAGCUUAACUCCGAAACUGCAUUCGAUACUGCCGUGCUUGAGGACUGGAGAGGAGACUGGAAUUUACGGUGUAGCGGUGGAAUGCGCAGAUAUCAGGAAGAACACCAACGGCGAAGGCAGCUCGCUGGGACGGUACUGACGCUGAGACGCGAAAGCGUGGGGAGCGAACAGG